AAAGAAAAAAAGAAAAGCGCAAGCACGUUAUUCUCUGCUUUCAUCUUCUUCUCCUCCUUCGUUUCAUCUUCUCUCUUCUUCUUCGGCUUCGGCAAGCAAAUGGUCGUGACAGACAGGGAUCAAAUGAACAACUCCUCCAUUGUCCGCCUCAACAUCGGAGGCAAGAAGUUCUGCACGACUACGGAUACACUGACUCAGCGGGAGCCCGACUCGAUGCUCGCUGCAAUGUUUAGUGGUCGCCACACCGUGUGCCAUGAUCCCGAGUCGGGAUUUAUAUUUGUUGAUCGUGAUGGAAAGCAUUUUCGGCAUAUUCUAAACUGGUUACGGGAUGGUGUUGUUCCGACACUGUCCGACUCCGACUAUUCAGAGCUUCUUCGUGAGGCAGAAUACUAUCAGAUGCUUGGAUUAAUUGAAGGAAUCAAAUCUGCUUUAAAUAAAAGGCAGGAAGGUGCUGAAUCAGACACUGAACUGACACGAACCGACAUUAUAAAGUGCAUACAGUCAGAGAAAGUCAGAUUUCGUGGGGUUAAUCUUUCAGGCCUUGAUCUUUCCAAAUUGGACCUGUCAUAUGUGGACUUCAGCUAUGCAUCUUUAAAAAAUGUUUUCUUUUCACGUGCAAAUCUUCAUUGUGCAAAAUUCCGGGAUGUUUAUGCUGAAGGUUCCAUAUUCCAUAAUGCCACUUUGCGCGAAUGUGAAUUUACUGGUGCAAAUCUUCGUGGGGCGUUACUAGCUGGUGCCAAUCUUCAGAGUGCAAAUCUACAAGAUGCAUGUUUAAUCGAUUGCAGUUUCUGUGGAGCUGAUUUGCGAUCUGCACACUUGCAGUCUCUUUUCAGACUGCUGAUUUAACUAAUGCCAACUUAGAAGGAGCUAAUUUGGAGGGAGCCAAUCUAAAGGGGGCUAAAUUGAGCAAUGCCAAUUUGAAGGGGGCAAACCUUCAAAGAGCUUAUUUGCGGCACGUCAAUCUCAGAGAUACGCAUCUCGAAGGCGCAAAGCUCGACGGCGCCAACUUGCUCGGAGCAAUAAGAUGACAUUGAACUUCUAAUCAAUACUUGUAUGUAAUUAUCUGAUGUUGCCCUACAUCCCAUCUCCCUCUUGUUUGUUAGCUUUCGAUUGGAGCUGUGAGGGAAGAGCAGUUGAUGGCCUGGUUAAUCUAGAUGUUAAUAUAAGCAGCCUGUACAUAGUUUCAUGUACUCAGAAUAUCUAUUUAUCUUGCAAACUCUGUUGACCGAUUAUACCUAGUUUCUUCUAGGUGCUUAUAAUCUGUGGUUAAAUAAGUAAUGCUUUCGACUGUUGUAUACAGUAUGAUCUAUUAGUUGUCUGCAUCUAUACGUUUCGUGAUUCAGUUUCUUGUUCAGAGCC